AGGUCGAUGCCCGAGCAAUUAAUAGGGAUGGAUUAUAAAUUCAUUGGCAAUAUGUCUACGCUAGUUCAAAUCCAGCUCGGCCCA
rfam:Gossypium hirsutum cultivar TM-1 chromosome 10, whole genome shotgun sequence